UAGGGAAUCUUCGGCAAUGGGGGGAACCCUGACCGAGCAACGCCGCGUGAGUGAAGAAGGUUUUCGGAUCGUAAAGCUUUGUUGUUAAGGAAGAAUGAGUGUGAGAAUGGAAAGUUCAUGCUGUGACGGUACUUAACCAGAAAGGGACGGCUAACUACGUGCCAGCAGCCGCGGUAAUACGUAGGUCCCGAGCGUUGUCCGGAUUUAUUGGGCGUAAAGCGAGCGCAGGCGGUUAGAAAAGUCUGAAGUGAAAGGCAGUGGCUCAACCAUUGUAGGCUUUGGAAACUGUUUAACUUGAGUGCAGAAGUGGAGAGUGGAAUUCCAUGUGUAGCAGUGAAAUGCGUAGAUAUAUGGAGGAACACCGGUGGCGAAAGCGGCACUCUGGUCUGUAACUGACGCUGAGGCUCGAAAGCGUGGGGAGCGAACAGG
rnacentral:rRNA from 1 species